UACGAAGGGGGCUAGCGUUGUUCGGAAUUACUGGGCGUAAAGCGCACGUAGGCGGCUUUGUAAGUAAGAGGUGAAAGCCCAGAGCUCAACUCUGGAAUUGCCUUUUAGACUGUAUCGCUUGAAUCAUGGAGAGGUCAGUGGAAUUCCGAGUGUAGAGGUGAAAUUCGUAGAUAUUCGGAAGAACACCAGUGGCGAAGGCGGCUUACUGGUCCGGUACUGACGCUGAGGUGCGAAAGCGUGGGGAGCAAACAGG
rnacentral:rRNA from 1 species